GACAGAGGGUGCAAACGUUGUUCGGAUUUACUGGGCGUAAAGCGCACGUAGGCGGAUCGUUAAGUCGGGGGUGAAAUCCUGGGGCUCAACCCCAGAACUGCCUUCGAUACUGGCGAUCUAGAGUCCGGAAGAGGUGAGUGGAACUCCUAGUGUAGAGGUGGAAUUCGUAGAUAUUAGGAAGAACACCAGUGGCGAAGGCGGCUCACUGGUCCGGUACUGACGCUGAGGUGCGAAAGCGUGGGGAGCAAACAGG
rnacentral:rRNA from 1 species